rnacentral:rRNA from 1 species
GUAGGUGGCAAGCGUUGUCCGGAAUUAUUGGGCGUAAAGCGCGCGCAGGCGGUUCUUUAAGUCUGAUGUGAAAGCCCACGGCUCAACCGUGGAGGGUCAUUGGAAACUGGAGAACUUGAGUACAGAAGAGGAAAGCGGAAUUCCACGUGUAGCGGUGAAGUGCGUAGAGAUGUGGAGGAACACCAGUGGCGAAGGCGGCUUUCUGGUCUGUAACUGACGCUGAGGCGCGAAAGCGUGGGGAGCAAACAGGGAUUAGAUACCCUGGUAGUCCACGCCGUAAACGAUGAGUGCUAAGUGUUAGGGGGUUUCCGCCCCCUUAGUGCUGCAGCUAACGCAUUAAGCACUCCGCCUGGGGAGUACGGCCGCAAGGCUG